AGAUUUCCAGCACAUUUUCAGGAAAUGUAAGAAAGUAGGAUUUUAUUCCAUUUCACUGUUUUAAAAAAUAUAAUUUUUUAAUUAAUUAAUUGAGUUUUUUUCAUGACAUAAUAGCAAAACAACAUUAAGUGAGGUAAUACUAAAUGAGGAUUUAUUGUAUUAUGAAGAAACUAAAUAGUAAAUUCAACUUUUACUAUCAGUAAGGAUAUCAUUAAUGAAAUGAAUUAACCCGAAAUUUUCAAAUUUGACUUAAAAAUAUGUAGUUUUUGACAAAUUUUAAUACAUAUAUGAUUUUAAAAUGAGUGUUCUUACAUCUCUAAUUUCAUUAUUAUUUUUCAAGGACUUCCUGCUAAAUGGGGAAAAAAAUUAAAAAAUUUGAUGAUGAAAAAGUUAAAAAAAAAUAGGAAAAAAUUCUUUGGAUCCUUUGCAAAAUGUUUGACAACCCCAAACAUGCUUUUUGCAUUGGCAUGUGGAUAUUUGAGAGAUGAUAUAUACAGGCAUACCUCACUUUACAAUACUUUGCUUUUUGGCACUUUUCAGUUACUGAUAUAUUCCAUGUUUUUAUUUCAUAUCUCAAAAUAAAAAUUAUCAGAAAAAUAAAACUUAGAAUAUACAGUAUAUAUAUAAAACAUAAUUAACACAGUGAUGGGCUGGGCCCACAGCUAUCCUGAAAAACUGAAAAUGUGAGUUUAGGUAUUGAAGCUAGAUCCUCCAAAGCGAUAUGCAAAUGUUUUAAAAUGCAGUUAUCUGGUUGAGUUUUUUUAAGGCUAGUAUUAUUGUGCAUUUAAUGAAUAAUUGUAUAAAUAUGUUUUUGGUCUUUUAUAUGCAUUAGUAAAUGAAUAAAGUUGUGAUUCAUUUUACAGCAGUGGUCUUGAACA
rnacentral:lncRNA from 1 species